rnacentral:rRNA from 1 species
AGACCCGAAACCCGGUGAUCUAGCCAUGGGCAGGUUGAAGGUUGGGUAACACUAACUGGAGGACCGAACCGACUAAUGUUGAAAAAUUAGCGGAUGACUUGUGGCUGGGGGUGAAAGGCCAAUCAAACCGGGAGAUAGCUGGUUCUCCCCGAAAGCUAUUUAGGUAGCGCCUCGUGAAUUCAUCUCCGGGGGUAGAGCACUGUUUCGGCAAGGGGGUCAUCCCGACUUACCAACCCGAUGCAAACUGCGAAUACCGGAGAAUGUUAUCACGGGAGACACACGGCGGGUGCUAACGUCCGUCGUGAAGAGGGAAACAACCCAGACCGCCAGCUAAGGUCCCAAAGUCAUGGUUAAGUGGGAAACGAUGUGGGAAGGCCCAGACAGCCAGGAUGUUGGCUUAGAAGCAGCCAUCAUUUAAAGAAAGCGUAAUAGCUCACUGGUCGAGUCGGCCUGCGCGGAAGAUGUAACGGGGCUAAACCAUGCACCGAAGCUGCGGCAGCGACACUGUGUGUUGUUGGGUAGGGGAGCGUUCUGUAAGCCUGUGAAGGUGUGCUGUGAGGCAUGCUGGAGGUAUCAGAAGUGCGAAUGCUGACAUAAGUAACGAUAAAGC